AUGAACGCUAGCGGCAGGCUUAACACAUGCAAGUCGAGGGGCAGCAUAAUGGUAGCAAUACUAUUGAUGGCGACCGGCGGACGGGUGCGUAACGCGUAUGCAACCUACCCUUUACAGGGGGAUAACACUGAGAAAUCGGUACUAAUACCCCAUAAUAUUCUGGGAGGCAUCUUUCGGAGUUGAAAGCUUUGGUGGUAAAGGAUGGGCAUGCGUUGUAUUAGCUAGUUGGUAAGGUAACGGCUUACCAAGGCGACGAUACAUAGGGGGACUGAGAGGUUAACCCCCCACAUUGGUACUGAGACACGGACCAAACUCCUACGGGAGGCAGCAGUGAGGAAUAUUGGUCAAUGGACGGAAGUCUGAACCAGCCAUGCCGCGUGCAGGAAGACGGCUCUAUGAGUUGUAAACUGCUUUUGUACGAGGGUAAACGCAGAUACGCGUAUCUGCCUGAAAGUAUCGUACGAAUAAGGAUCGGCUAACUCCGUGCCAGCAGCCGCGGUAAUACGGAGGAUCCAAGCGUUAUCCGGAUUUAUUGGGUUUAAAGGGUGCGUAGGCGGUUUAGUAAGUCAGCGGUGAAAUUUUGGUGCUUAACACCAAACGUGCCGUUGAUACUGCUGGGCUAGAGAGUAGUUGCGGUAGGCGGAAUGUAUGGUGUAGCGGUGAAAUGCUUAGAGAUCAUACAGAACACCGAUUGCGAAGGCAGCUUACCAAACUAUAUCUGACGUUGAGGCACGAAAGCGUGGGGAGCAAACAGGAUUAGAUACCCUGGUAGUCCACGCAGUAAACGAUGAUAGCUCGUUGUCGGCGAUACACAGUCGGUGACUAAGAGAAAUCGAUAAGCUAUCCACCUGGGGAGUACGUUCGCAAGAAUGAAACUCAAAGGAAUUGACGGGGGCCCGCACAAGCGGAGGAACAUGUGGUUUAAUUCGAUGAUACGCGAGGAACCUUACCCGGGCUUGAAUUGCAGAGGAAGGAUUUGGAGACAAUGACGCCCUUCGGGGCCUCUGUGAAGGUGCUGCAUGGUUGUCGUCAGCUCGUGCCGUGAGGUGUCGGGUUAAGUCCCAUAACGAGCGCAACCCCUACUGAUAGUUGCCAUCAGAGCGUUUGAGCGAUCAAACAAGCUGGGCACUCUAUCGGGACUGCCGGUGUAAGCCGAGAGGAAGGUGGGGAUGACGUCAAAUCAGCACGGCCCUUACGUCCGGGGCGACACACGUGUUACAAUGGUAGGUACAGAGGGCAGCCACCCAGUGAUGGGGAGCGAAUCUCGAAAGCCUAUCUCAGUUCGGAUUGGAGGCUGAAACUCGCCUCCAUGAAGUUGGAUUCGCUAGUAAUCGCGCAUCAGCCAUGGCGCGGUGAAUACGUUCCCGGGCCUUGUACACACCGCCCGUCAAGCCAUGGGAGUUGGGGGUGCCUGAAGUUCGUGACCGAAAGGAGCGACCUAGGGCAAAACCGAUGACUGGGGCU
rnacentral:rRNA from 1 species